rnacentral:lncRNA from 1 species
AUUUUUCAGAAAUGCUGCUGCUUAAGCCCUGUUUUAAGAGAGAUUCCAAGACUGGACAGGCUUUAUCUCAAGAAGGUGUUAACUUUUCACACUGUGGUUUGUUUUGAGCUAUCACUUUUUGGAGUUUUUUGCAUGGAAUUAGAUAGGUCAUGCCUGAUGCGGACAAGAGUCCCUCUUUAUCUUUGAGCAAGAUGCAUCUGAAGCAACAGAAGCUUAACAGGGGUCUGGAUCUCCUCUCCAGACAGCGAGACAUCUGGAAUACCCAAGAAAGGGUAUUCAAAGGCACUUCUGAAAGAAACUUCCUUUCACAGCACCCUAGGCUCUCUCCCAUGUGUCUGUCCAGUGUGGAUUACCCCCACACUGCAAGGAUGAUUUCUUUUUAAUAGUACUCUUGAUUUGAAGUUAUCCACAGACAGAUUUCUGGAAAGGCUCCUCUCUGCGUGGGUGGAUAGGGGAUACAUCACUGGCACCACACACAAGUCCUAACCAGUACCUUGCAGACAGCUCUGGUGCGUGACAAAAUAAGUGGGAUUGAUAAGGAAUGAGGG